UACGUAGGGUGCAAGCGUUGUCCGGAAUUAUUGGGCGUAAAGAGCUCGUAGGCGGUCUGUCGCGUCGGCUGUGAAAUCUCGGGGCUUAACCCCGAGCCUGCAGUCGAUACGGGCAGACUAGAGUGCUGUAGGGGAGACUGGAAUUCCUGGUGUAGCGGUGAAAUGCGCAGAUAUCAGGAGGAACACCGGUGGCGAAGGCGGGUCUCUGGGCCGUAACUGACGCUGAGGAGCGAAAGCAUGGGGAGCGAACAGG
rnacentral:rRNA from 1 species